UGUAUCGAUAUAUCGAUAUAUUUUUUGAAUUCUCCUUUACCCAUCAUGCAAUGCAACAAGCAGAAACAAAAUGGCGUCAUUUAACGGAAAACGAGAGCUUUUUGUGUGUUUGUUUUUUUUCUCCCCAAUUGUUCUUAUAGUAAAAGUGUGUGUAAUCAAUAAUCAAUUAAGCAAUCCAGUCAAUCGUAUCAAAUUGUAUCGAACAAGUGUUAAUAGAGUGUAAAUAAUCGUCGUUUUUGAUCAGCGAAUUACAAUGUAAAUCCUGGUAUUAUUGCUACCUUGUUCCAAAGCUUUUUUUUGUCUUCAUUUUUUUUAUGAGAUAAAUCGUGAAAGGAUUUAAUUAAGAAUGGAGGCCUCUAAAAAUAAAACAAACACAUUUGGGGACUUUAUUUGAGAAAAAAAAACGCUGUAGUUAAUUUACAUGGAACAAGGGUUAUAAAGGAUCAAAAAAAAAAAAAAAGUCGGACGUCAAUCCAAUCAAAGUGGAAUGAUUAAAUUGAGUAAUCAAAACUUUUCGAAAUCAAGUUGACUCAACUUUGUAUCACAUAUAUACGUAAAUCACAAAAUUGGUGAGCAUAAAGCAUUUGAAUGAGCUGGUAUUUCUCCAAAAUACGUGACAUUUUCUCCUGGCAUUGAAUUACCAUUUGAGGCGCUUCUUGUUAUGUAGAAAUGUAAAGCAGGAAACUUGCGUUUGCUGCCCGCUAUUCUCAAUCAAUCGGUUUUCUAGUUGGAGUUGCUGAUAUCGAAUAAUAGAGGGUGUGAUCUAACAGUGUUGCACUGUAUGCAUAAAUAGAGAAAGAGAAAGAGAGAGCGAGAGCGAGAGCGAGUUGUAUUCUCAUGACAGGUUGAGUUGCAUUGAAAACCGUUUGAGCUUCAAAUUCAAAACACCUCGCUAUAUAAGGAUUGAUGUACGUGUUCGUGGAAUAAACUUGACGGGCUCAUGCGGAACUUUUCAUUUAUAUAAAUUGUGAAAAAUCUGAAAAAGACACAUGGAAUUAUGUAAAAUAUCGAUUCGGACUCAUACGCUUCCGUAAUUCAAGAAAUUAACAAAAGUGCAGAAAAGUAUUUUCUUUUGGUCUUUCUUCAAGUCGAUUUUCAUUGCCAUUGAAUUACCGGAUAAUAAUUAAAAUUACCAUUACUUCAUAUUACCAUUUUGGAACUGUAAUUACUUGUGAAACUACUGUCGCUUGAAAGUAUCACUAAAUUGCAAGUAUAAUUAUUUGAAAUUAUCACCAAUCAUUCUGCAAUAUUUUGGAAUCGAUCAAAGACAACAACACGGGGAAAAAGAAAGCUGAUCAUUCAAUUUGUAAACAUUGGAGAUACAGAGAGACGAUGAGAAAAAGAGAAAUUUCAUCCAUUUCCCAGCAAAGAAUUUCGUAUAGGAAAAAAAGAAAACCCCAUCUUAAACACAGAAAAGGAAAUCACGUUUUUUUUUCUUCUCUUCGAUGCAUUAAGACUCGUUGAAGGCGGUUUCCGGAGGAUGUAAAAUAAAUAUAAAGUCUGGCGUAAAUUUCAGGAUCAUCAUUUUACGAUGCAGUGUAUAAUGUUCCUAAUCGGUGAGUGCGUCUUUUAUCGAUCAUAAUAAUUAUAUUUGCGUCGUAACACAAUAAUUUUCAUGUGGAUAAUAAUUUAUCAUGACACAAACUAUGUUUGUGAUUAAUUAAAAAAUUACACACAUC